UAUGAUCCAGAGUACCACGGGACACGUGAAACCCUGUGGGAAGCAGGAGGGACCACCCUCCAAGGCUAAAUACUACCUAGUGACCGAUAGCGUAUAGUACCGUGAGGGAAAGGUGAAAAGAACCCCGGGAGGGGAGUGAAAUAGAACCUGAAACCCUGCACUUACAAGCUGUGGAAGCACAUUUCUUGUGUGACCGCGUACUUUUUGUAGAACGGGCCAACGAGUUACGUUAAGUAGCAAGGUUAAGCACUUAAGGGGCGGAGCCGUAGCGAAAGCGAGUUUUAACUGGGCGUUCAGUUACUUGACGUAGACCCGAAACCGGGCGACCUACCCAUGAGCAGGAUGAAGCGAAAGUAAAAUUGCGUGGAGGUCCGAACCCACGAGCGUUGAAAAGCUCGGGGAUGACUUGUGGGUAGCGGUGAAAUUCCAAUCGAGCCCGGAGAUAGCUGGUUCUCCCCGAAAUAGCUUUAGGGCUAGCCUCAAGGUGAG
rnacentral:rRNA from 1 species